GUCCCCGAAGAACCCGGAACAGAAGAUCAUUAAAAGAGUGAUUGCUCUUGAAGGAGAUAUUGUAAAGUAAGUUCUUAAACUGUUAUUUUUGAGUUCACGUUAUAAAUAUCUAGUUUUUUGUUGAGUUUUAAAUCACAUUUCAUGGAAGCACAUCUCAGUUCAAUGAUAACCAAAGCUUUGGAGUCUUUCCAAAUGAACUGGUACAUUUUCAGGGAGUACCAUCAGAAUAUAACACAUACGUAAGCUGUCUGAUAACAUUAUUAUCCUUUAACUGGGAGGCUCAGGAAAAAUAAAUGUUAAAAAUUUUAUAAAAUGACCAUUAAUUGUUUUUCAGAUAUUAAAAUUAGCAUUAUUGUUUUAGAUUGUGAUGUCAAGAUUUAUUAUUUUAGAUGCAAAUACAGAAACUAAGGGGGAGCUUUUAUUGUAAUAGAGAUGGGGGAAUAUGGAAAAGGAUGUGAAACAGAAACUUUUGGAUCAGUGACAAAAAUAGUAGCUUUAGAAAAUAACAUAAUGAUCAGGUGCUUUACCAAAAUGUGUAGCAAUGUCAUUUAUUCUACUUGCUGAUAAAUCUAGAAUAAUGUUUGAGCUUCUGCAAGUAGGUAUUGAUGUGGCAUGAUAGGUCUCAUAUUGCUUAAUUACCUUAUUUUAAGUUGUAGCCAAAACUAUACAUUGUGGGAUUCCAUAUAAUUUGAAAACUAUAUUCCGAAAACUUUUUAAUCCUGUUUUCCCAAAAAGUUUGAUGCUAGACUAUCUGUAAUGAUAGUACAGUUUAAGCAAUCUCAUUCACGUGGACCUCAUUAAAAUAGCCUAGAGCAGAAUCUAGUACAGCUGUUCUCAAAAGAUGGCCCAAAGACCAUGGGUGUUCCAAGACCCUUUGCGGGGGAGGGGGGCAGUCUGUGGGAUCAAAACUCUUUUCCUAAUAAUACUGAAAUGUUAUUUCUCAUAAGUGUACAGUGGAGUUUUCCAGAGAUUACAUGAUGUAUGAUAUUGCAGAAGUCUGAGGCAGGAGUGGAUAUGGGCUUAAUUUUCUAUAAUCCAGAUACUGAAAAGACUGAAAACUAUACUUUUUCACUAAACAUGUUCUUUUUGUUAACAUGUAGCUUUAUUAUUGUUAUUUUACAUUGAUUUCACUAGUUUUUUUUAAAAGCCUCUGUUUUAAUUUCUAAUAUGGUAAAUAUUGACAUCUCAUACCCACAUAAGCAAGGUUCUUUGAGACCACAGUUAUUUUUAGGAGUGUAAAAUUUUCCUCAGAUCAAACAAUUUGAGAACUUGCUGAUGCAGGAAAGAAUGGCAAACAUUUUCGUCUAGUUUACGUGUUCAUUUGUACCUGCAUCAUAUCCAUGGACUUAUUGAGAUAUGGUUUGUUUAGUUUAUAUUCAUGAGUAUUUGUUUGGUCUUUUUUCUUCUAAAAUUUAUAUUGAAGUAUAAUUUAUGUACUGUACAAAACAUACACUUUAAGUAUAUAGUUCAGUGAGUUUUAAUACAAAGUUAUACAAUUGUGCAACCCUUACCACAAUCUAGUUUUUGAACUUUUCUAAUACCUUCAAUCAUCCCUUCCUGUUUACACUUAACUCUGGUUCCCACCAGUCCCUCUUGCCAUUGCCACACAAUCAUUGGUAAGCUUUCUGCCUUUGUAGUUCAGGCUUUUCUAGAAAUUUUAUUCACAUGGUAAUAUACAGUAUGUAAUCUCUUGUACCUGGUUCCUUUCACUUAGCAUAGUGUUUUUGUUGUUGUUGUUCUGCCAUGUUGUGAAUCUGUAAUAUCUUCCUUUACAUUAUUCAUGGGAUUCCAUUUUAUGGAUGCACAGCUCUAUGACUAUGAGUAUAUUAAAAGCAUGUUUUACUUUUUAAAUGGGUAAUUUAUGUGUUACAUGAAUUACUCAAUAAAGCUAUUAAAAAACCAAAGCAAAAAAGGUGAUCAACAAAGCAGGCAAAAAUUUCAUCUUUGUAAAUUAAUCUAAAAGGAUUAGGAAUGCCAAGGGAUCCAUUUUAUGGUAUAAUCCAAGACAACACAGCUUCAAUUCAAGUAUAUCAUUAUUGGUCACAAGCUAACUAGUUAACAACGUGAGAUUGUAAAGCUUGGUCAGACAUUAAAAAAGAACUCUAUGCAAUCAGAUACUACAACAGACCUCUCUGAAGAGAAGGCUGAGUUGUUGCUUUCCAAUGGACAUAUUGGGUUCACAGAGGAGAGGCUGAGCUAGAAAGAGGGUUAAUGGUGCAGGGUUGAAGAAUGAGAGAAGGGGACAUGGGACUAUGGUAGGUUUACACCUUCUUUCCUCACUGCCGAAACCCACAUGUGCAAAGUCUAGCUUCUUUGUUCCAUCCUAAAAAUUGACUUUGGACAUACAUCCCUUGCUGUCCCCCUUCACUAUGCCUCUAUCAUAGUAUAAUGAGUAUCAAAUCUCAAGACUUUUUCACUGUCUGUCCUUUUUUUUAAAGCUAGUGAUUGAAUAUUCCUGUAAUGCCUUUCUAAUAGUGUUGAAAAACGCUAAGGGAUAUUUAAGGAAUAAAAUAUUUACUCAUGUUCUUUUCUCUCCAAACUACUUUUUAAAAUGUGAGAACACAUAAAAAUUGGAGGGUUUUUUUUUGUUUGUUUGUUUGUUUGUUUGUUUUUUGUCUUUUUGCCAUUUCUUGGGAUGCUCCCACUGCAUAUGAAAGUUCCCAGGCUAGGGGUUGAGUUGGAGCUGCAGCUACUGGCCUAUGCCACAGCCACAGCAACGCUGGAUCUGAACUGCAUCCAUGACCUAUGCUGCAUCUUGCAGCAAUGCCAGAUCCUUAACCAACUGAGUGAGGCCAGGGAUCGAACUCUCAUCCUCAUGGUUACUAGUCGGGUCUUUAACCUGCUAAGCCACAGUGGUAACUCCUAAAAAUUGUUUUAAUAUGCUGUUUAUCCCUGGAAGUCAUUAGUUGAUUUGUGUCCUAACUUGUAUUAGGCAAGGUCCUUUGGUCUAUGAUAGGGACUUUCCAGUCCCACCUCUAUCUUGGAUAAUACUGGAUUACCUAGGAGGCAAGCUAAGCACAAACAUAGGGCUCUAGGGAGUUCCUAUCAUGGUGCAACAGAAAUGAAUCCAACUAGGACCCAUGAGGUUGCAGGUUCAAUCCUUGCCCUUGCUCAGUGGGUUAAGGAUCCGGUAUUGCCAUGGGCUGUGGUGUAGUCUGCAGACAUGGCUAGGAUAUGGUGUUGCUGUGACUGUGGUGUAGGCUGUCAGAUGUAGCUCAGAUUCAACCCCUACCCUGGAAACCCCCAUAUGCCACAGGUGCAGCCCUAAAAAAGACAAAAGACAAAAGUCAAAAAAAAAAAGUAGGGUUCUAAAAAAUUUUUUUGCAAAACUUUAUUUUAUUAAAUGACCUGAACAAAAAAAAAUUUGACUUAUCAGGACUUGGUUAUACAUACUGUGGGUUUUAUAGUAUUUUUAUUUUGAAUUAUACAUAAUUAGAGGGUUAGAGGGAACCAUACUCUUUUCAGAGGUUAAGCCCUUGAAAAUUUUAAUCUAGUCCUCCAUUUAAUGCUCUGUUAAACUCCUUCCAAUUACAGUAACAGAGAGAAAAAUAUAGUUGAAAGAGCACUCCCUUCGUUAUUUUUAUUUUUUAUUAAUGAUUUUUAUUUUUUCCAUUAUAGUUGUUUUACAGUGUUCUGUCAAUUUCUACUGUACAGAAAAGUGACCUAAUCACACAUAUAUAUACAUUCUUUUUCUCACAUUGUCCUCCAUCAUGUUCCAUCAUAAGUGACUAGAUAUAGUUCCCUGGGCUAUACACCAGGAUCUCAUCGCUUAUCCACUCCAAAUGCAAUAGUUUGCAUCUAUUAACCCCAGAUUCCCAGUCCAUCCCACUCCCUCCCCCUCCCCCUUGGCAACUGCAAGUCUGUUCUCCAAGUCCAUGAAUUUCUUUUCUGUGGAAAGGUUCAUUUGCGCCAUAUAUGAGAUUUCAUAUAUAAGUGAUAUCAUAUGAUAUUUGCCUUUCUCUUUCUGGUUUGUUUCACUUGGUAUGAGAGUCUCUAGUUCCGUCCGUGUUGCUGCAAAUGGCAUUAUUUGUUCUUUUUAAUGGCUGAGUAGUAUUCCAUAGUGUACAUAUACCAUAUCUUCUUAACACAUUCAUCUGUUGAUGGGCAUUUAAGUUGUUUCCAAGAGCAGUCCCUUUAAAACUACAUGGGGAAGCAAGAGUGCUAAGAGUACAGGACCAGCCUCACCUCACUGAAGAAGAGGAAUGACAGUGCCAUACUUCUUGUUCUGUUCACUUGUGCCUUCCAUCUGCUGGCACUUUGCUUUUGCCUGUCUUGUCUAUUUCACUUGGGUUUUGCCCCACUGUCAACUCCUGACUUCCUUGAGUGUGGCCUAUGUUUAAACUACCUGAGAGAAAUCUGAAUGAGCCCCUUUAAGGUGCAGAUCUAGGCUCUGGCCACCUGACAGGCCACUGGCCCACCAAUUGAUCAUCUGCCUUUGGGGUAGGUACCUUUCCCUGGUCUAGUCAGCUGUGUCUAGGUAGGCCAUGUACCUGGUACAGACCCUGUAGUUAUAAGGAACCCCUUGGAAGGGCCUUAUAGAUGUGGAGAAUACCCUGAGGCAUCCCACAUUGUGGCAGUGAGAUUAGCUGUCUUUGCUCAGCAUUACCCUUCAAAACCUUGUAUUUAGUGAGACUAUAAUCUGUUCUCCUGGAAGUUCUUCUCUUCUAGGGAAGAGAAGCUUUCUUUUUAAAAUUACGGAAAUAACGUGUGCUUGAAAAAUGAAAAGUGCUGUAAUGAACAUCCUUGCCUACAUAACUUCAUAGACUUGUGUGUUUAUACUUGUGUGUAGAAUAGAUAUCUAGAGGUGGAAAUAUUCAGCCAACAUAUGUUUGGUUUUGUUUGGUUUGGUUGUUGCUGUUGUUAUUUUUAAUUCUAAUAUAUGCAGCCAAAUUUCCCUCCCAAGAGGUUGGUGUAUAUUUGUACUUACCAACACUGCGUGAAAUACCCUAUCAGAGAAAGUUGAUUGAAAUAUUAUGUGAUCAUGUGCAACACGGAAUUUGUGGACUUCAGAUCCAAAAACCAAAAAACUUGGCAAUACAAAAUUUGAAAUUAGUUCUAGAUGAUCAAGUUAUAUUUAAUGUUAUCAGCUCACUGACUGUGUAAGCCUUAGAACCAUUCAUUUAAUGAACCCUCGUCUAGAUGCUAGAGAGACAUAGCUGAUCAAAAGACACAGAGUCUCUGACUUCAUGGAGCUUACAUUCUAGUAGUUGGAAGCUAAUCAUAAACAAAAUAUAAUUCAUAAUGCAGUGUCAUGAGCCAGAAGUGCUAUGAAGAAAAAGUAGGAAAGAAUGUAUAAUGGGCAUCUGAGGUUGCUAUUUUAGAUAGGAUGUUUAAUACAUGUUUCUAAUGAGAAGACAUUUGAGCAGACUCUUAAAUAAGUGAGGGAAGGAGGAGGAGAGCCAUACUGGUAUUAAGAACAGUGUAGACCAAAGGAAUAACAAAUGCAAAUCUGAGAUGGAUACAUGUUAGGUGAGUUUAAGGAAUUGCAAGAUGCCAGCAUGUCAGACCUUGGUGAAGAAGGAAAAUUGAGGUAGGAGAUUAUGUCCAAGAGGUUCACAGGGCUUUGUGGGUUACAGUAAAGACUCUGGAUUUUAUUCUCAUGGGAAGGCAGACCAGUGGAGAGUUUUGAGCCAUGGAGCAGUGUGAUCUGAUUGAUGUUUCUGCCUGCUAUGAGAAGAGACCAAAGGGAGGCAAUCUGACCCAAGUAACGGUCAAAGUGUUUUUCUCUUGAGAAAAUCACAUCCAGCUCCUUCUAAUGGUAGUUAAGUGUCCUUGUUUAUGACAUGAAUGAUGACUACUUUGGUAUGUUAUUUUCACAGUGACUCAUAAAAAUAGUCACAUUAUUUGUAAUCACCGUCAUUAUGAUUAUAUUGGCAAGGUGAAAAGUAACAUUGUAGUAUUUGUUCAAAGAAUUCAGAUGAAUAUUUCAAAGACUGUAAAAGAGGGAGAUUUUCGGGGUCCAAACGUUUUAUCUUGGCAUCAACUUUGAUUAAAAUCACAAAGCAAUUGCUUGAUUCCCUGGAUAGCUUAGCUAGGAAUGUAGUCAUUGUCAUCAAGUUAACCCAAAUGGGGAUGCUUAUCUGUAACAUGAACAGUCAAGAGCUAAUGAAAGUCAUAUUUAGGCAGACCCAUGAGUUCCAUCAAAAUAUCUUUCAUAGUUUUUUUUUCUUAUUAAAUUUAUUAUGACUCUCAGAGAAGUCCUGUUUUAGAAAGCAUUGGGAUGAAUACAAAGUGCUAACCUACAGCAAAUCAAUAUGAAUUAACCACAACUGAAAUUUCUAAGGCAUCAACAUUUUUUAUCCGGGCACUUAACACCUCUAUUUCAGAGAUUUUUGUCAACCCAGUCAGAAGUAAAAAUCUAACAUCUUCGCUCCUCUUACUUGGUGAAAUACACUGUAGAAACAUUUGGAAUCUGGGCUUCCAUAGUUAGCAACCUCAAUGAAGUAAGUGAGUUGUCUUUUUAGUGCCCAGUGAAGAGAGAAACCAUAUAAUUUAUCACCUAAACGAGGACACCUUUGAGAGUGAAAGAGGAUGAUGAUUAUUACCUGGGAAUAAUGGGCAUAGACUGAACUGCUCAGGCAAACCUCCACAAGUGGCCGCCCUCCCAGUGAAGGGCGAUCUACCUUAUAACUCACUUCACGUAAUUCGAUUGUGUUUAGUUUGUGGCUGUCCUUGUUCAGGAGAAUUCCAAGAAGCGUUCAUAGAAAACAAUCACUUGGUGGCCCCAGGGAGGAAUUAGGUCUGGCAGGAUCAAUGGUGGCGUGGAGAAGCGUGUUGUGCUCACCGCGCACUGAUUUUCCUGCUGCGAAGUGCAGUGCAAGACUUUCUCUCCCAAGUGUUGAUAAUGCAGAGUGAGUCUGAGGUGGGGAAUCAUGAAAUUUCCCUCACUGCAAAAUAUUUAAAUAAUAGUCCCUCUUCACAUCUGGAGACUACUGUGUAAAAUGUCAAAACACCCUAAUUUAUAAAAAAUAACUUUCUGGUAUUAGCAAAAAAAAAAAAAAAA
rnacentral:lncRNA from 1 species